rnacentral:lncRNA from 1 species
UUUAACUGUGGGUUUAAAACGCUGACCCAUGUGUAUGCGGAUGGAUCAAGGCUUGCAAUUUUCAAAUGUCAAAUCUGUGCGAGUGGAAGUGCCAUCAACUUUUAACAUGGUAAUUAUUCUUAUUGCUCAUGGAACACGUAAAGAAGAGAACUUUUUCAACAAUAGGUUUCCUUGUUCUGACAAAGUUGGAGGCUUUAGAACAUUGAUGACAAACAUUUGAUUUUCAGGUCAAUAGUUAACUUUCUAAGCAGGACACCAGUGCUGCAUUUGGCUGGGAUAUGAAUGGCAAUCUUUGAUUGCUGAACAUAUCCUUUGUGCUAACUGAAUUUCAAUAAGUGAAGUGGCAUGUAGUGUAACUAUCUACAUAUUUAUUUGCAUUUGUCCUGGUAAAUAUUGAACUGAAAAUUUAAUAAUUAAAUACAUAAACAACGAAAAAUGUAGCUAAAUAUUUUAUUUUUCUGGAAGAGUAUAAAAUAAUGACUCAAGACUUUGAAAUUGAAGCUAAUAAUUUACAGGAAAAAUAAGUUGGCAAUUUUCUCUAAUAAGAGUUAAAUAGCUUUAAACACACUCGUCCAGAAAGACCUAUGGUCAAGCAAAUCACAUGCUGCAGCAUUAGAUACCUAAUGUAUAUAUGUGCUGAAAUUUUACCCUAGGGUAUCAAGAAUUCAAGUUGGAAUUAUUGGUUAUUUGUAAAGUUCUCGUUUCAGUGAUAUAGAUUUUUGCGUUUCUAUUUUAAUACUUCAUUUUUAUGUAUAAAUCCAUCACUUCAUUUUGUCAAGUUUUUCUUUUUUAGCAGCUCUAUAUAUGGAGCCUCAUUCUCUCUAGUUUUUCACUUAUUAUGGAUUAGGACAAAUCAAUUGAUCUUCAAGAAAAGCCUUAAAAAACAUAAUAAUGGUUCACUAAAUCACAUGAUCUGUACCAGAGCAAUUGGCCUAAAAAGCUUAGUUUAGCUAAGGAAAAUGUUAUGUUUACACGUUUACAGAAUACAUAAAAAAGUAAUUACACAUUUUGUAUAAAUUAAAAAAAAUUGAGACUUUUAACAAAAUUUAGUAUGUUAACCACUC